rnacentral:lncRNA from 1 species
ACCAUGUUCCAGCUCUCAGCUCCCACAGGAGCUCUGGAGCCUCCACUGUGGACCAGAGCUUCUGCCUUGGAGAGUGGGCAUUGCUGCCUGGGCACUGCCAUUGCCCAGGGCACAGAAUUAUACUGCCAGUCUCCAUGUUCCGCCAAGUGACGCUAAGAGGAGUGCAGUGCAUGUCUGAAGGAAGAAGAACAGAAUAAGUGAAUGAAAUAAUAAAGAACAUGGACUUGCGACGUUUAGAUUCAGUUGUACCACAGACCACGUCAUAGUUCCGAAAACUUAAGGAAAUGACACCUGUCAAAGUUUUCCAGAUGGUUAUCCUAAAAGGUAAUUCAUUCUUG